rnacentral:lncRNA from 1 species
GGCGGCUCAAAUUGACUUAAAAUGCAGUUGAAAAAGAUCGUCUACUUUUUUCGCUUAAUGAAAAAAGGCAUAUUUUUAAUGGCUCCAACGUGCAGAAGUGGAAGAUAUUUUCUAUACUUUGUAAAAUGUGAAUAUGAUUUUCGGCAAUUUUUAAACCUAAUUGGAUAAGCUUUCGAUUAAAUGUAAUUCCAAUCCUGUAUCAACCAAUCAGACGCCGUAUAGGAUUCUAUUCUGAGUACCAAAA